rnacentral:rRNA from 1 species
ACGGGAGGCAGCAGUGAGGAAUAUUGGUCAAUGGACGGAAGUCUGAACCAGCCAUGCCGCGUGCAGGAAUAAGGCCCUAUGGGUCGUAAACUGCUUUUGUGGUGGAGCAAUAAGUCGUACGUGUACGGCGAUGAGAGUACAUCACGAAUAAGCAUCGGCUAACUCCGUGCCAGCAGCCGCGGUAAUACGGAAGAUGCGAGCGUUAUCCGGAUUUAUUGGGUUUAAGGGGAGCGUAGGCGGGUCCUUAAGUCAGUGGUCAAAGCGUGUGGCUCAACCAUACCACGCCGUUGAUACUGGGGACCUUGAGUGCACAUAAGGAUGGUGGAAUUCGUCGUGUAGCGGUGAAAUGCUUAGAUAUGACGAAGAACUCCGAUUGCGAAGGCAGCUGUCCGGGGUGUAACUGACGCUAAUGCUCGAAAGUGCGGGUAUCAAACAGGAUUAGAUACCCUGGUA